CGGAGGGUUGCAGCUCCAAGUCUUACGACUUCCCCCAGAGUCCCAGCGGGUGACCUGUAACUCUGGCAGGUCAUCCUGAGUGCCGCUCGCUCUGAUUGCUGAGCGCUGGCGGAGUCGUGUCGCCUCUCAGCUCGACAGAUUUAGCAGCAGCUGGAGAAACAGAAUCCCAAACGGGAGCUGGAGGGCUGAGAGUCUCCGUCUAAACGCUCCUGGACUUUAGCUCAGCAUGGAGAUCACACUUGAAGACGAGAACCAUGGCCCAUCUCCAAAUGUUGAGUACAAAGGAGCUCACCAGGCCUUCAGGGACCGCUGGAAGCAGACGGACGACACCAUGUGUCGCCACAGCAUGUCCUUCCACCUGCACCACACGCUCAGGAGCGAGUUCUUCACCAGUUACCUGUAUCUGCUGGAGAAGAUACCUCUGGUGAAGCUGUUCCCAGUCACCUGUGAGUACAUCAAAGGUGAGAAGCAGUUCUACUACCGAGCCCAGCAGUUCUACGAGGACGUCCCGGCGUCGGAGGAGGGCAUGAUGGGAGAUUUUGUUGAGAUAUCCAAAGUUGACCUGGAAGGUUCUCGUCAGUUCCUGAAGAGGUUUGUGGGCCCGGGAAAGGCAGGAACACACCGGGUUCUGGACUGUGGUUCAGGAAUCGGACGUGUGACCAAAGGCGUCUUUCUUCCUGUGUUUGAGAAGCUCGAGAUGGCGGACAUGAUGGAGCAUUUCCUGCUCCAUGCACACGAGGAGUAUCUAGGUGCUGACGCCGAUCGGGUGGAGACGUACUACUGCUUCAACCUGCAGGAGUUCACGCCUCCCAAGAACAAGUAUGAUGUCAUCUGGAUGCAGUGGGUGGCCUGCCACCUAACAGACAAAGACCUGAUGAACUUUCUGAUUCGCUGCAAGAAGAGCCUCCGUCCAAACGGCGUCAUCAUCAUCAAGGACAAUAUGGCACGGCAGGGCUGCAAGCUGGACCCCAUCGACAGCAGCAUCAGUCGCCACCUGGACAUCAUGAAGGUCAUCAUCAACAAGGCUGGUCUGGAGGUCCUGGCUGUGGAGAAGCAAGAGGGCUUCCCUGAUGUCAUCAUGCCAGUCUGGAUGAUUGCCAUGCAGUAGAAACGCUGCUUGCUGGCUCCGGAGAAUCCGGCCUGAAGCUGAAUUAUUCCGAGUCCUGAUUUGAGUUGUAUCUUUGGAAAGCCAGGAGGCGUCAGGAGAUAAACCCUGAAGCAGAAGUGUGGAAAACAUGACGACACCAGGCGGCUUCAUGCACAGAGGAAGGUUUCUUCUCUUCCAGUUUUGGUUCUUUUUUAAACACAGCUGCUGCCCGCUCUCCCCUCUCCGAUGAUGCAGUCCCAUGUGAAGAUGUUUGCAGCCGCAAACGAAACGUCAGCAAGAUCUCUGUCUGCUCGUACAGUCGGGAAUCCUGGCAGAGAGACGCUGGAGUCGGGGAUAUGGUCCUGCAGCCACGUCUCAGUGACACACAUAACACUGCACUGCCGAAACUCUGGCUGAGUCCUUGAAAGGGCUUGAAGUUCAUCCAUUGCUGGCCAGCGAUCUCACAUUGCCCAUUAUGAUCGAUGGAAAAGAUGGUGUGGCAGGGAGGCUGCACCAGGUGCCAUCAAUCAUAAGCAAUUAAGGUGGAGCACUUAAAAGCAGGCGGGAGGAGAGACGCAGACGCCAGAUGAUUAAGCCACGCAGCGUGACAAUCAGGUCAGCGCUGUGCUUCCCAGUGUUCUCCUCACCUGUGAUGUUUUGUCUCACAGCCGGCCUAUCCUUCUGAGUUCCCAGACCUAAGGAUCUCCCAACGUCUUCCCUGAACCGCGGUGUCUGCUUCACCCUGGCUGCAGCGCUUCAGCUCUGUCUUCUAUGCCCUGUUGGAUCCUCCUCUUCUCCGCCUGCCUGUCCACCCUCGAGCCUCCAGCGCUCCUAGGAGAUCUCAGCCAUGGCCUGCCACACUCCCACACUGGACCUCACCUCCCCUCCAAACGCUCCUCACCACGCAGACCAAGCCGCCUCUGCGAACCCGUCCAGAGUUCCUCCACAUCGAGAACCUGCUGGACUUUUAAUAAAACUGUUAACCUUU